AUUCCGGGCGGCAGCCGCUUUUCUUAUUGGUUGGCACGGCUAUUGGACUAUGGAUUUAUUUAUAUCCCUGUGAACGUUGCCAAAUGUGGCAGUAUUCUUUAGUAGCUGAUGGUCUGAAGUGUAAUCAUCACUUUACAACAUCUCUUUAUACAUGUGGGUCUAAGGAUAUUAAAAUAUGAAUCACAUACUUUGAUACCUAUGUAUAUCCCGUGGCAGCCGGAUGUACGUUCCGUAUUGACCCAAUGAAGUCCUUCAUCGGCAAGGGCUGUUGCAUCGAUCUACGACACACUGCUACAAAAACAACAACAACAUACAAAUGUAUAUUCAUUUACCAAUGCUAGAAUUUUCGUCUUUUACCGUCAAUAAAUCUGAAAAACUUA